GCGCCCCUAGCUCAGCCGGUUAGAGCACCUGACUUUUAAUCAGGGGGUCCUGGGUUCGAGUCCCAGGGGGCGUACCA
rnacentral:tRNA from 1 species